rnacentral:rRNA from 1 species
AUUGAACGCUGGCGGCAGGCCUAACACAUGCAAGUCGAGCGAGCGGCGGACGGGUGCGUAAUGCAUAGGAAUCUGCCUGGUCGUGGGGGAUAACGUCCGGAACCGGGCGCUAAUACCGCAUACCAUCAGAUGUGCCCAGAUGGGAUUAGCUAGUGGGUGGGGUAACGGCUCACCUAGGCGACGAUCCAUACCUGGUCUGAGAGGAUGACCAGCCACACUGGAACUGAUACACGGUCCAGACUCCAACGGGAGGCAGCAGGGGGGAAUAUUGCAAAAUGGGCGCAAGCCUGAUGCAGCCAUGCCGGGUGUGUGAAGAAGGCCUUCGGGUUGUAAAGCACUUUCAGCGGGGAGGCGUUACCCGCAGAAGAAGCACCGGCUAACUCCGUGCCAGCCGCCGCGGUAAUUC